rnacentral:rRNA from 1 species
AUUGAACGCUGGCGGCAUGCCUUACGCAUGCAAGUCGAACGGUAACAGGUCUUCGGAUGCUGACGAGUGGCGAACGGGUGAGUAAUACAUCGGAACGUGCCCGAGAGUGGGGGAUAACGAAGCGAAAGCUUUGCUAAUACCGCAUACGAUCUCAGGAUGAAAGCAGGGGACCGCAAGGCCUUGCGCUCACGGAGCGGCCGAUGGCAGAUUAGGUAGUGGGUGGGAUAAAAGCUUACCAAGCCGACGAUCUGUAGCUGGUCUGAGAGGACGACCAGCCACACUGGGACUGAGACACGGCCCAGACUCCUACGGGAGGCAGCAGUGGGGAAUUUUGGACAAUGGGCGCAAGCCUGAUCCAGCCAUGCCGCGUGCAGGAUGAAGGCCUUCGGGUUGUAAACUGCUUUUGUACGGAACGAAAAGACUCCUUCUAAUAAAGGGGGUCCAUGACGGUACCGUAAGAAUAAGCACCGGCUGACUACGUGCCAGCCGCCGCGGUAAUAC